GCAGAGCAUCCUACGGGAGGCAGCAGUGGGGAAUAUUGCACAAUGGGCGCAAGCCUGAUGCAGCCAUGCCGCGUGUAUGAAGAAGGCCUUCGGGUGUAAAGUACUUUCAGCAGUGAGGAAGGUGGAUAUGUUAAUAGCAUAUUCAUUUGACGUUAGCUGCAGAAGAAGCACCGGCUAACUCCGUGCCAGCAGCCGCGGUAAUACGGAGGGUGCGAGCGUUAAUCGGAAUUACUGGGCGUAAAGCGCAUGCAGGUGGUUUGUUAAGUCAGAUGUGAAAGCCCGGGGCUCAACCUCGGAAUUGCAUUUGAAACUGGCAAACUAGAGUACUGUAGAGGGGGUAGAAUUUCAGGUGUAGCGGUGAAAUGCGUAGAGAUCUGAAGGAAUACCGGUGGCGAAGGCGGCCCCCUGGACAGAUACUGACACUCAGAUGCGAAAGCGUGGGGAGCAAACAGGAUUAGAUACCCUGGUCG
rnacentral:rRNA from 1 species